rnacentral:rRNA from 1 species
UACGGAGGGUGCAAGCGUUGUCCGGAUUUAUUGGGUUUAAAGGGUGCGUAGGCGGUUCUUUUAAGUCAGUGGUGAAAGCCUCCAGCUUAACUGGAGAAAUGCCAUUGAUACUGAAGAACUUGAGUACAGACGAGGUAGGCGGAAUUGACAGUGUAGCGGUGAAAUGCAUAGAUAUUGUCAAGAACACCGAUUGCGAAGGCAGCUUACUAGACUGUAACUGACGCUGAGGCACGAAAGUGCGGGGGAUCAAAACAGGG